ensembl:miRNA
GGGAGAAUUGCUUGAACCCGGGAGAUGGAGGUUGCAGUGAGCUGAGAUCACGCCACUGCACUCCACCCUGGGCAACAGAGU